AUCCCUUCAGAGAGAUAGAGUUCCCUGCAUUUACUCAGUGAGCGGGAGGGAAGUCUGCUCCUCCUCUCUCCUCCUGGCUUUGAUGUCUCUCUUCUCCGGGUGAGGAAAACUGUUUUGGUAGCAGCAGUCAGACGGCCUCCUCCAUCCCUGCGAGUGAAAUGACUGACCCUCCUUGAAUUCAUCACGCGCAAGUUUGGACCUUACCAUCGCCUUGUCAGUGAGGAGCAGCCAAGUGCAGCGAGUGGAAACCGGAGCGAACGAGGAGAGAGCAUCAAGUGUCCUGCCAACUACUUGCGUGGCCUCGCUGGACUUUCUCACGCAGUGGAGACAAGGCCCGGGUUCAGCACAGGAAGAGCAUUCAGGGAAACCAGUGGAAAUUCAGUUUGACGACAUGCAGAGUGUAAAAAAACAGGGAGAAGAAUAUUUUUGAUGUAACAACAAAUGUGGAGAGUAUAAGUUGGCACUCACACAGUAAAAAUAUGAGCACACACACGACAAAGAAUCAAACCUGCACCUGAUGUUUGACAAACAACUGGUCAACAUGGUUGUCAAGCUACUGCAUGUCACUGUUUGACCUCUGCCAAUAUAACAUACAGUUGAAAGACUCUAAAUACUUCAAUUAAAAAAAUGUAUAACUCUAAAUUGAUACAGGAAAAAAUUGGAUUUAUUGUAUGUAUUUAGUCACAGAUGUCUUCAAGUCAAAUGUAUCAGGAAUUAUUUACUGAACCAAAAAAGUAAAAAUAAAGACAUUUCCCCUCACAAUUUAAUGGUAUUUUCCAUCCAUCAUCUACCGUUUAUCCGGGUCAGGUCGCGGGGGCAGCAGCUUCAGUAGGAACCCCAAUCUUCCCUUCUCCGGGCCAAAUCCACCAGCUCCGACUGGGGGAUCACGAGGCGUUCCCAGGCCAGUGAGGAGAUAUAAUCUCUCCACCGAGUCCUGGGUCUUCCCCGGGGUCUCCUCCCAGCUGGACGUGCCUGGAACACCUCCCUAGGGAGGCGCCCAGAUGGCAUCCUUACUAGAUGCCCGAACCACCUCAACUGGCUUCUUUCAACGUAAAGGAGCAGCGGCUCUACUCCGAGUCUCUCACGGAUGGCUGAGCUUCUCACCCUAUCUCUAAGGGAGACACCACCCGUUUGAGAAAACUCAUUUUGGCCGCAAUCUCGUUCUU
rnacentral:lncRNA from 1 species